rnacentral:lncRNA from 1 species
GGUGUGAAUAUAACUGCUAUAAUUGGCUUGAACAUCUGUAGAAUCAUGACACAGCUGUCUGAAUUCUACUUAUGGUGAAUUCUUAUGAGAAAUUUACAUCCAGGCACUAUCAUAGAUCCCAAUUUUGUGAGCAAUCUGCAAUGAAGAAAAAUUAUUUAAGAGUGGAUGCUGUUCUUCAUAAAAUCACAAUUUGGUAAGCCAGUAAACAUACUUGAAACUAUCAAUAUAUUAAAAAUUGUAUUUAAAUACUAGUUUAAUUAGAAAACAGACAUUUAAAUAUGUUAUCACAACCUGACACUUUCAAGGACUUAAAAAACUACUUCUUUAUUGAUAUAAAUUUCUGAAUACUAUUAGUUGAUAACUGCAUAAUAUUACUACUGUAACAAUGUUCAGCUUUGAUGCAUGUGGUCAAUGAAGAAGGUUUUCAUCAGCAUUUCAAGAUUACAGCAUACAUUUUCUUACACGAAAAGAGAGGUCUGCAAAUCACGAAUGGUCUGCACUACUGAGAUGACAAAGCUUUAAAUUUAUUCCUAAUUCAGGUUUAUAGCUCCAUUUCAUUUCUAAGAGGUAUGAGAAGUACAUAUUUUAUAACCUAACAUGUACAAUGAACAUAAAAUGUCUAACCUUCACACCUCAGACUCAAGCAUAAGGAACAGAAAAGGUUUGGGUAAAGAAUGAAAAAACUACACAGACAGGAAUAUAAACACAAGGGUGGAGGGAGGAGGAGCUGAGUCUGAGGAAGAUUCUUACUGUUUCAUAUAUACCCCAUUUAUCCUUGGUCAGUAUUAAUUUAGUAUUAAAAUUUGGCAGCUGUCUUCUAAGAAACCAUUCCUGAACAUCCUUCAGUCUUUAUGCAAUUUCAAUAUAUAAUUUAAAAGCAAAAAAAAAAAUACAACAUAAAUAUGUGUACAUACAUACAUAUUUGUACUAUACAAUAUAUGACCCCAUUAAAAUCAUAUUAUUUUCAGAUGACGUUCUGGUCAGGGUUGUCCAGAGAAACAAAAUCAAUAGGAUAAAUAUAGACAUAUAAUCUGUGACAAUUAAUGGAAGGCCCAAGAACCAGGAACUCCAAUGUCCUAGGGCAGGAUAAGAUGCAUGUCCUAGCGUAAGAAGAGAGAGAAAAGACUC